rnacentral:lncRNA from 1 species
UAUGUCACGGGACUAACAUGACAUUCCAAUAAUCCAUAUCGGAUAAUUAUGGCUAGAUGCGGGGUAUACAAGUUUGAUUAGGCUAAAUAUAAUAACUGGACUUAAAUAUUCUGGGUUGGUGGUUUUGGGCUAGUGAGUUAUUAUUGCCAGCGGGUCGGAUCGUUACAACUAAGAUCCAAAAGAAUAAACAAAGACGGAACCUCAGGUAGGGGUGAAAAUGGUUAGGAUAAAUUCUAAUCCUAUUCAACAGUGGAUUCAAUAGGAUGCGAGUGUGACAACUCAGUAGUCAUAAUCAGAUAAGAACAUAAUUAUGAUUGAAUAUAUAAGAAUUAUGGUUUGAACUCAACGAGUUAUUAUCACUAGUAGGCUCGGAUUGUUACAUUUGGUAUCAGAGCAAGUUUAUCGGCCAGAAAUAUAAGAUGAGCUUCACAUCGUUUGGUGAAUUCACAUCGUCUGGUGAUUGUCUCAUCACUAUUUUGUAGCAUCGAAGGAGCAAAAUGAGAAAUUUUCAUAGUCUAUGAGAAUUCUAAGACAUUUCGCGUUUCCAGAUUAUAUUCUACAAAUACUCCAAUAUUCAAAUAAAAAUCGCAAAAUUUAAGAGUGACUAAUAACUUCUCAUCUGGUAUUUUGUGAUUUUAAGACAUUUUUAAUACAGCUGCGGCAUUAGCUUCGUGAAGGGAUAAGAGGUAAAAAGAUGUGCUCAGAUAGAGAGAAAGAGAUGAUCAGUUGGAAUGCUAUUAGUAGCAAACGGACUCUGUUGCUAUCUUUUUAUUUUUGAUGAUAGAAGUUCUAAAUUGAUGAUUGGCAUCGUUGAAUAUGAUCUGUACCACUUGAACAUUCUUUAUUUUUUAAGGGGUAAAGUGUAGAUUUUUGAAUGACAGGAAAAAAAGUGAAAAAGCAGGUGUUCAGAGAGAAGCUUUAUGUAAUUUAGCCUUCUAUUUAACAGGGAGGUCAAAUGCAGUUGGAUAUUUUACUAAGGGUGCGUUUGGUUCGAAUUAUCCUGGCAGGAUUAUAGGCAAUCCUGUCGGGAUUACUGUGUUUGGCUCAUCCGGUAUGUAAUAGGAUCGGUAAUGUAGCAUUACAAAUGACGCAGGAUUACUGUGUUUGAUCAGCAUUACAAAUGGCGCAGGAUUACUGUGUUUGAUCAGCAUUACAAAUGGCGCAGGUAUGUAACCGUGUUCCAUUAUUUUCCUACAUCGGUAUUACGUAAUAUUUGGAGUUUAAAAUUUAGAAAGGAUACAUUGACCGUCUUUAGUGCAAGUGGCAAAAGGUUCGGUGGUUAGUACCCGAGGUCCUGAGUUCGAAUCCUAGUUGAUUCACAUUUUUAGCCAAGUUUAUUUCUAAAUAAAAUAAACAAAGUGAAUAACAUGCUAACUAUCUCUCUCUCUCAAAAAAAAAAAACAUCCCUCUUAUUUCUUAGCGGUGAAAAAAUCAUAUCUUUUUAAAAAGUCAUAUUCGCAUCCAUAAAUCCAUACUUGUUUUUAUUUUUUUUUUAAAAGUGAAUUCGGAUACGAAUAUAUGUUGAAUACGAAAUUUUGACAUCCAUAUCCACAU